ensembl:rRNA 5S_rRNA 5S ribosomal RNA
GUCUACGGCUCUACUACCCUGAAUGCACCUGAUCUUGUCUGAUCUCAGAAGCUAAGCAGGGUUGGGCCUGGUUAGUACUUGGAUGGGAAGAGAGUAUGCCCCUAAGUGUGAGAAGGUGCAAACU